rnacentral:rRNA from 1 species
GCAAAACGCGAAGAACCUUACCCAGGUUUGACAUUGAUGGUAAGCCCCAGAGAUGGGGCCCUCCCCCACAAGGGGACCUGAAAACAGAUGUUGCAUGGCUGUCGUCAGCUCGUGCCGUGAGGUGUGCGGUUAAGUCCGCAAACGAGCGCAACCCUCGUCCUAUGUUGCCAGCGGGAAAGCCGGGAACUCGUAGGAGACCGCCGGUGUAAGCCGGAGGAAGGUGGGGAUGAUGUCAAGUCAGCAUGGCUCUUACGCCUGGGGCUUCACACAUGCUACAAUGGACGCAACAAAGGGCAGCGAUACCGCGAGGUGGAGCCAAUCCCAAAAAUACGUCCCCAGUUCAGAUUGCAGUCUGCAACUCGACUGCAUGAAGGCGGAAUCGCUAGUAAACGCAGGUCAGCUAUACUGCGUUGAAUACGUUCCCCCGGGUCUUGUACAC